rnacentral:lncRNA from 1 species
AAGUGACAACUACGUUAAUAUAAAAUCAUAGUUUAUUCAACAGAGCGAGAGUUUGAGAUAAAACUUUUAAUCAAUAGAGUCAACUGAAAAGAUUUAUUUUAAAACCAAGAAACCAACGAAGAAUUGAUUCCCUAAUUACGACGAAUUACAUACCGAUAUCCGCUUAAUCGAUAUUUAAUUUAGAUCCUAUUUUUAGUUUUAA